GACGAACCGUGCGAACGUUAUUCGGAAUCACUGGGCUUAAAGGGCGCGUAGGCGGGCCGAUCAGUCCGGGGUGAAAUCCCACGGCCCAACCGUGGAAGUGCCUCUGAUACUGUCGGCCUCGAGGGGGAUAGGGGCGUGCGGAACUCAGGGUGGAGCGGUGAAAUGCGUAGAUAUCUGGAGGAAUACCGGUGGCGAAGGCGGCAUCCUGGACCGACAUUGACGCUGAGGAGCGAAAGCUAGGGGAGCAAACGGG
rnacentral:rRNA from 1 species